rnacentral:rRNA from 1 species
UACGUAGGGACCGAGCGUUGUCCGGAAUCAUUGGGCGUAAAGAGCGUGUAGGCGGCUAUUUAAGUCCUGCGUGAAAUCCUGCGGCUCAACCGCAGACGGUCGUGGGAAACUGGAUGGCUAGAGUGCGGGAGAGGAGAGUGGAAUUCCCGGUGUAGCGGUGAAAUGCGCAGAUAUCGGGAAGAACACCGGUGGCGAAGGCGGGUCUCUGGGCAGUAACUGACGCUGAGGAGCGAAAGCGUGGGGAGCGAACAGG